rnacentral:rRNA from 1 species
UACAGAGGUCUCAAGCGUUGUUCGGAUUCAUUGGGCGUAAAGGGUGCGUAGGCGGCGCGGUAAGUCAGGUGUGAAAUCUCGGAGCUUAACUCCGAAACUGCAUUCGAUACUGCCGUGCUUGAGGACUGGAGAGGAGACUGGAAUUUACGGUGUAGCGGUGAAAUGCGUAGAUAUCGUAAGGAAGACCAGUGGCGAAGGCGGGUCUCUGGACAGUUCCUGACGCUGAGGCACGAAGGCCAGGGGAGCGAACAGG